AUGCUCUUUGCGGAUGAUGUGGUGCUAGUUGACGAUAGUCGGACGGGGGUCAAUAGGAAGUUAGAGUUAUGGAGACAAACCUUGGAAUCGAAAGGUUUUAGGCUUAGUAGAACUAAAACCGACUACAUGAGGUGCGGUUUCAGUACUACUAGGGGCGAGGAGGAGGUUAGCCUGGAUGGACAGGUGGUGCCUCAGAAGGACACCUUUCGAUAUUUGGGGUCAAUGCUGCAGAAGGAUGGAGGUAUUGAUGAAGAUGUGAAUCAUCGCAUCAAAGCCGGAUGGAUGAAGUGGCACCAAGCUUCUCGCAUUCUCUGUGACAAGAGAGUGCCACAAAAGCUAAAAGGCGAGUUCUACAGGACGGUGGUUCGACCCGCAAUGUUGUAUGGCGCUGAGUGUUGGCUGACUAAAAGGCGACAUGUUCAACAGUUACGUGUGGCGGAGAUGCGCAUGUUGAGGUGGAUGUGUGGCCACACAAGGAAGGAUUGA
rnacentral:rRNA from 1 species